ACGGAGGCAGCAGUGGGGAAUAUUGCACAAUGGGCGCAAGCCUGAUGCAGCGAUGCCGCGUGGAGGAAGAAGGUUUUCGGAUUGUAAACUCCUGUCUUAAAGGACGAUAAUGACGGUACUUUAGGAGGAAGCUCCGGCUAACUACGUGCCAGCAGCCGCGGUAAUACGUAGGGAGCGAGCGUUGUCCGGAAUUACUGGGUGUAAAGGGAGCGUAGGCGGGACGGCAAGUCAGAUGUGAAAUACAUGGGCUCAACCCAUGGGCUGCAUUUGAAACUGCUGUUCUUGAGUGAAGUAGAGGUAAGCGGAAUUCCUGGUGUAGCGGUGAAAUGCGUAGAUAUCAGGAGGAACACCGGUGGCGAAGGCGGCUUACUGGGCUUUUACUGACGCUGAGGCUCGAAAGCGUGGGGAGCAAACAGGAUCAGAUACCCUGGUA
rnacentral:rRNA from 1 species